rnacentral:rRNA from 1 species
ACCAGACUUGCCCCCCAAUCGUACUAGUGGUUCGGUUUAGAAUACCCUCACUACAAUCGCGAUUUUUAGUCGCGUCGUUAUAUCUUGUCACUACCUCCCUGAGUCAGGAUUGGGUAAUUUACGCGCCUGCUGCCUUCCUUAGAUGUAGUAGCCGUUUCUCAGGCUCCUUCUCCGGAAUCGAACCCUAAUUCCCCGUUACCCGUGAGAGCCAUGGUAGUCCAAUACACUACCAUCGAAAGCAUGAUAGGGCAGAAACUUGAAUGAUUUAUCGCAGGCGAGCUGCGAUUUGCGAAGUUAUUAUGAUUCACCUAAUUGGUAUAUCUAAUAAAUACAACCUUGCGGUUUUGGCAUGUAUUAGCUCUAGUUUUUCUACAGUUAUCCAUUUAAUGUAUCAAAUAAACUAUAACUGUUUUAAUGAGCCAUUCGCAGUUUUACUGUGUAGUUAUUUAUACUUAGACAUGCAUGGCUUAAUCUUUGAGACAAGCAUAUGACUACUGGCAGGAUCAACCAG